rnacentral:SRP_RNA from 1 species
GUCAGUUGCAGUAGCACGUGCUUGUAGUCCUGGCUACUAAGAGAACUGAGGCGGGAGGAUCGCUUGAGCCCAGGAGUUCUGAGUUGUAGUGCUCUAUAUCCAGGAGGUGUCCACACUAAGUUACACAUCAGUAUGGUGACCACCUGGUCCCAGGGGACCACCAGGCUGUCAAAGGAGGAGUGAACCGGCCCAGGUCAGAGAUGGAGCCCCUCAAAACUCCUUUGCCGAUCAGUAGUGGGAUUGUGGCUGUGAAUAGCCCCCACACUCCAGUCUGGGCAACAUAGCAAAACCCCACUUCU